GUCACUGGGGAAGGUGGAGGGGGGGCGGCGGAAGGCGAGCAGCUCCGGACCCCCGGCGCCCCCCUGGCAGGCAGCCGCUCUCUGGAGAUUCUCAGCAGUCUUCUGCACCAUGAAUAUUCCCGAAGGAGAUGUUAGGGGUGUGUGCCCUGCGACUGGGUUUGUACCUAAUUCUGAUCGUGCAAACUCAAAGUCAAGCGGUCAGGGCUGUGGCUAUCCUAAGGGCUGGGUGGAAAGGAAUCGGAGGUGAUGGAGCUGGCAUGGCAGGAAGAACAUGCAUGCUUCAAAGAGAAAGUGUAAGAGGGAGCACAGCAAACAAAAAGAGAAUGGGAAAGGAGAGAAAAGCCCGUGUGGCUACAUGACACACAAACCCCAGAGAAAUCAGAAAUACAAGGGAGACAGGACAUGGUUCAGAACACUGCAGGUCAAAGGGGGAAGGAAAGAGCUGAUCCGUGUACUGUCCUAGAAAUAAUGGAAACCUCAGGAGGCUGUGUCCUGAUGUGUGAUGACACGAAAGGAAAAAGAGUGUGGGCUCUGGAGUCACACCAGGAGCCGAGACAUGGUUUCCAUUUCCCCUCUAAGCGAACAACAAGGACACAUUACACCUGAUAGCACGUCCUAUGGGCCCGGCACGCUACUCUGAGUUCUUUAAAUACAUUAACAUGUUUAAUCAUCACAACAACUCUUGAGGAAGUGACUACUAUUAUCUCUAUUUUACAGAUGAGGAAACUGAGGCACAGAGAGGCAAGGUCACUUGUGCAAGGCUACCCUGCCAGUGAGCAGUUUAAGAGAAGCCAGGCUUAGAUGAGGCUCUUCUGCUUCACCUGACCUUUUGGCUCUGUUUCCUCAAUCUGCCUUUCCAAGUCCAGUCUCCUUAACAUCCUGGGGUCCUUUAGUGAGCUGAAGGGCACUGCCUCCCGGGGAGCGCUGCAGAUUUCCAGAUGGUACUGCCUUACUUAGAGGAAGCAAGGAGCAGCUCUGGCCAUGCGAUAUACCUGUGGGUAACCCCACACCCUUCCCCUUCCAUUGCAGAGCUCUGGGAAAUUCCCAGAGCAAAUAGAAGAAGGGUGGAAGGAGGGAGGGAAGGAGGAGAAGGAGAG
rnacentral:lncRNA from 1 species